ACAACCACGAAUACCCUUCCUAUAGCCUAUAGCCCAGGUCCAGACAGAGACAGACAACCACGAAUACCCUUCCUAUAGCCUAUAGCCCAGGUCCAGACAGAGACAGACAACCACGAAUACCCUUCCUAUAGCCUAUAGCCCAGGUCCAGACAGAGACAGACAACCACGAAUACCCUUCCUAUAGCCCAGGUCCAGACAGAGACAGACAACCACGAAUACCCUUCCUAUAGCCUAUAGCCCAGGUCCAGACAGAGACAGACAACCACGAAUACCCUUCCUAUAGCCUAUAGCCCAGGUCCAGACAGAGACAGACAACCACGAAUACCCUUCCUAUAGCCUAUAGCCCAGGUCCAGACAGAGACAGACAACCACGAAUACCCUUCCUAUAGCCUAUAGCCCAGGUCCAGACAGAGACAGACAACCACGAAUACCCUUCCUAUAGCCUAUAGCCCAGGUCCAGACAGAGACAGACAACCACGAAUACCCUUCCUAUAGCCCAGGUCCAGACAGAGACAGACAACCACGAAUACCCUUUCUAUAGCCCAGGUCCAGACAGAGACAGACAACCACGAAUACCCUUCCUAUAGCCCAGGUCCAGACAGAGACAGACAACCACGAAUACCCUUCCUAUAGCCCAGGUCCAGACAGAGACAGACAACCACGAAUACCCUUCCUAUAGCCUAUAGCCCAGGUCCAGACAGAGACAGACAACCACGAAUACCCUUCCUAUAGCCUAUAGCCCAGGUCCAGACAGAGACAGACAACCACGAAUACCCUUCCUAUAGCCUAUAGCCCAGG